rnacentral:rRNA from 1 species
GACGAACGCUGGCGGCAUGCCUAAUACAUGCAAGUCGAGCGAACAGAUGAAGUGCUUGCACUUCUGACGUUAGCGGCGAACGGGUGAGUAACACGUAAGGAAUCUACCUAUAAGCGGGGGAUAACAUUCGGAAACGGGUGCUAAUACCGCAUAAUAUCUUCUUCCGCACGGAAGAAGAUUGAAAGACGGCUCUGCUGUCACUUAUAGAUGACCUUGCGGUGCAUUAGUUAGUUGGUGGGGCAACGGCCUACCAAGACGAUGAUGCAUAGCCGACCUGAGAGGGUGAUCGGCCACAUUGGGACUGAGACACGGCCCAAACUCCUACGGGAGGCGGCAGUAGGGAAUCUUCCGCAAUGGGCGAAAGCCUGACGGAGCAAUGCCGCGUGAGUGAAGAAGGCCUUCGGGUCGUAAAACUCUGUUAUAAGAGAAGAACAAAUUGUAGAGUAACUGCUACAGUCUUGACGGUAUCUUAUCAGAAAGCCACGGCUAACUACGUGCCAGCCGCCGCGGUAA